CGCUCUGCUCAGAGCGGCCCAUACAAACGCGUUCAGGGCGGCCCAAACCUAACAAAAGCCCAUAUAAAAGUUAAACUAAAAAAAAAAAAAAAUCUCACAUUCUCUCUCACACACGUUCUCUCUCUGCCUAUCUGGUUUCAUCUCUCUGCCUCAUUCAUCUCUGCUGCUACUUCUUUCAUCUCUCAAAUUUUAGUUUGUAAUCUUCUAAGUUUUUUGUAAUCUUAUUCUAAUCUUCC
rnacentral:lncRNA from 1 species